ncrna:Pseudomonas fluorescens BS2 narK RNA
GGCGCGUGACUUGCUAGGAACACCUCAAGAGCAAUCAACGCUGAUUGCCCACACACGACAAAGGCGCCGU